rnacentral:rRNA from 1 species
AGCGAACGCUGGCGGCAGGCCUAACACAUGCAAGUCGAACGAACCUUUCGGGGUUAGUGGCGGACGGGUGAGUAACACGUGGGAACGUGCCUUUAGGUUCGGAAUAACUCAGGGAAACUUGUGCUAAUACCGAAUGUGCCCUUCGGGGGAAAGAUUUAUCGCGUUUAGAGCGGCCCGCGUCUGUUUAGCUAGUUGGUUGAGGUAAUGGCUCACCAAGGCGACGAUCAGUAGCUGGUCUGAGAGGAUGAUCAGCCACAUUGGGACUGAGACACGGCCCAAACUGCUACGGGAGGCAGCAGUGGGGAAUCUUGCGCAAUGGGCGAAAGCCUGACGCAGCCAUGCCGCGUGAAUGAUGAAGGUCUUAGGAUUGUAAAAUUCUUUCACCGGAGACGAUAAUGACGGUACCCGGAGAAGAAGCCCCGGCUAACUUCGUG